AGCUUUGCACGGUGGUAGUAUCAUAGCCAAUGGGGUCUAUCUGAAGCAUGAUUAUUGCUAACUGAAAACUCAGU
rnacentral:snRNA from 1 species